AAUGUGUUAGUUUAAACCUGCUAAGUUUAAAUGCUAGUAAUAUUAUUACCAGGCACAUUC
rnacentral:tRNA from 1 species